rnacentral:rRNA from 1 species
UACGUAGGGGGCUAGCGUUGUCCGGAAUCAUUGGGCGUAAAGCGCGUGUAGGCGGUCCGGUAAGUCCGCUGUGAAAGUCGGGGGCUCAACCCUCGAAAGCCGGUGGAUACUGUGGGGCUAGAGUCCGGAAGAGGCGAGUGGAAUUCCUGGUGUAGCGGUGGAACGCGCAGAUAUCAGGAGGAACACCAAUAGCGAAGGCAGCUCGCUGGGACGGUACUGACGCUAAGGCGCGAAAGCGUGGGGAGCGAACAGG